rnacentral:lncRNA from 1 species
UCCAGUCACUAUUCUUUAUACCAUAUAUUAUUCCUAUACGCUUCAAUUCCUGCAGGGGAAGUGUUGCGAAUGAUUUGGUGUACAAAUGCUAAACCAAUCGCCUCAAGACCUAAUCCUAGUUAAAGACUAAUUAAUGAACUUAAGAACGAAAGUUUAAUCACACUUAAGGGAAAAUAAAGAUUGGGCCUUGUUGUUUGGAGAAACUAAGCAAAAUCCCCUUCAUGUUUUAAAAUAUAUCUAAACCACUCUAUUAGUUAAAACGGUGUCAACUUUAUAUAUUAUUUUACUAUCUUAUCCCUAGUCCUGAUGUUUGUAGGGAUGGAUGCGGUUCGGUUCGGUUCGGUUCGUUUUGUUAUACAUGAAUGGAUUGAACAAAACUAUCAAUCCUUUUCCUUAUCUCUUCUGGAUUGGCACCCACUAGCUUGUCGAAUACAAUUAAAUUGUAUAGGUUUCUCUUUUGUUUUAUCUUUUUCACCUAUAGUUCUAUCCAGGCUCCAGUAUUUAUUUGGUCAUUCUUAUUUCAUUUCCUUUUCAAUUUCAAGCUUUCAAAAUGUUGUGGGAUUCUUUUAUAAUUGUUUCAUUUUAUGAUAAUUAAUACUGGAGCGGUUUCUUAAUGUCAUUGAGUAUCUGCUUAAUGUCUAGAGUCUGCAGAUUGAGUUUCACUAACAUGUUCAUGCCUGCAGCUGCAACUAGUAACAUGAAAUCAUUUUUGAAGUUUUUCUGGAAUUUGAAUGGAAAUUAACUUGAACAAAAUAUUUAGAUGUUCAAUACAAGUCCUCUACUUGAACUCUGACCCAUCUCAGUGUUGAUAAAUGAAAACCAAAACAUUGAAACUGUUGGCAAGCUCAAAGUGAUUUCCACUGCAAUUUCAGAAGAAUGCCAAUAAUAUACACUUUACAAUAGUGAUUCUCAACGUAAGCAAUCUCAAACACGAAUUGAUUUACAACUUAAAUUUCUUAAAACACAUCGAGCAUAAUUUGCUCUUAAAUCAUCAAAACAAAAAGGAUCGUGUGCUCUGAAACUUCAUCAUUGGCCAUUAAACCCGAACUAAUUGGACUCUCUAUAUACACACACACAACUUCAAUCAUCAACAUAAAACAAGAAAAACGACAUGGAUUACAAUCAUCAAAGAAAGAAAUGAAAUAUGGAACCUUUUUCGUUUUAUUUUUUGUUCUGCUGAGAGUUUUUGGUGACAGUGGCAGCAGCAGCAGAUGACAGCGGCUGCAGCAGGUGGUAACGGCGGCGGAGACUCAGCGACGAGCAGCAGCGGCAAAUUAGAUUCGUGAAGGACGAGCAGCGGUGACGACUGAAGAGCUGGGGCAACGAGCAGUGGCGACGACGAGAUUGCAGUGGCGGCGACGAGCAGCGGGGACGAGAUUCCAGCGGCUGAAGGUGCUGCGGCUGAAGAAUGAAGAUAAGAAGAAGAAGUGUUUAGUUUAGAAUUUAGGGAUUGGUAUUUUUAAUUUCGGUUCAGUUUUUUGAUUUUUUUUUUAAAACCGAAAACCGAACCAACUGAUUUUACUACUUUUGUUAUAUUACUACUUUGGUUUUUUGGAUGCAAAACAAUUGCAUAAAAAUUCGGUUCGGUUUUUGAUUAAUCAACGUUUUUUGCCCACGCUUAGACGUUUGCCAUUAAAUUUGAAUAUUUUGAGAAUAUGAAUAAAGUAAAAUGAUGUAUAUACCCUUGAUGAUUAAAUUAAUUUAAUAAUAAAUUGUAAGUUAUGGAGAAAUAUCAACUGAUUUGUAAAUGUAAGUUCUUUUUAGUUUUUAUUUUUU